ACCUGGCUGGCUUGGUCAGAAGAGCACAGGACUCUUGAUCUUGGGGCCAUGAGUUCGAACCCCAUGUGGGGUG
rnacentral:tRNA from 1 species